CAGCCGCCGCGGGAAUACGUAGGGGGCGAGCGUUGUCCGAAGUUACUGGGCGUAAAGAGCGCGUAGGCGGGUCUUUAAGUGAGGGGUGAAAGGUUCAGGGCUCAACCCGGACACUGCCUUUCAUACUGGAGACCUUGAGAGUGGGAGAGGCGAGUGGAAUGGUCGGUGUAGCGGUGAAAUGCGUAGAUAUCGAUCGGAACACCCAUGGCGAAGGCAGCUCGCUGGCCUAUAACUGACGCUGAGGCUCGAAAGCGUGGGGAGCAAACAGGAUUAGAUACCCGAGUAGUCCCUGUCUCUUAUA
rnacentral:rRNA from 1 species